GACGUAGGUGGCGAACGUUAUCCGGAAUUACUGGGCGUAAAGAGUUGCGUAGGUGGCAUUGUAAGCAGGUAGUGAAAUCGUGUGGCUCAACCAUACUCACAUUACCUGAACUGCAAAGCUAGAGGAUGAGAGAGGUUAUUGGAAUUCUCAGUGUAGGAGUGAAAUCCGUAGAUAUUGGGAGGAACACCGAUGGCGUAGGCAGAUAACUGGCUCAUUCCUGACACUCAGGCACGAAAGCGUGGGGAGCAAACGGG
rnacentral:rRNA from 1 species